UCAGGGCCUGCAGGAGGGAGUUUUCAAGAAAGGGAAGUGGUUGUGGCCAGACAGAAUGAUGGAGCAACUCUGCUAGGACCUGCGUGGAAAACCCCUAACUCCCGCUGUGUUCUCAUAGCGGGCUGUGCAGGCAGACACUGUAGCCACCCCACCCCCACCUCCACGAGAAAGUACCUGGUGUUCACCCUGGGUUUCGCUUGGGACUGUGUGAGAGCAAUGACACAUGUGCUCUGGUGAAGCCUCACACCGGCCGAGUUGCCAUCUUUGGCCACAGAACCUGCCCCUCCCGGAGCAGCUUUGCAUUCAGAGAGUGGUGCCGUCAUCCGGCAAGCCUCUGCUCUACUGCUCUGAGGAUCAAAACCAACUCCAGCUCCACUUCUGUUCAGUUCUUCCAGCCAAGAUGACCAAGAACCUUCCUCAAACACACUCCAGACCUUCAUCCAUGAGUCCAGGUCCCCACUGCGUUUGUUCCUGAUGUGUGUGCUCGUCUUCCACUCUUCUCCAAACUAGAGGCCACUUCCUCAUACCGAGGAACCAGAGUGUAACUUGGAGUGUCCUCAGCAACUUCUCUCUCUACCCACAUGUCCACAAGCCCCAAGUCAUGGAGAUACUGAUUUCUGAGAAGUCCUUGUGUCCCUCUCAUGUACCUCAGGCUGUGAGGAACACCUUGGAACAUUAUUGACUGGUCACACACCUCUGUGCUCAGCCCUGUGCUGACACUGGAGGCACACAGUGGGCAUCUUCGUCCUUAGAUGCCUCAGGUUGGUGGGGAAGGGGUGAGAUAACCGCAGAUCUGAACCUGUGCACUGGUUAUUUGUUUAUUUUUGGUCAACUUGACACAAAUUAGAGUCAUCUGAAAAGAGGAACCGUGAUAGAGAAAAUGCCUCCAUCAGACUGGCCUGUAGGCAAGUCUGUGGACCAAUUUUCUUGAUUAACGAUCGGAGUGGGAGGGCCAGCAGGGGCAGUGCCACCCCUGGGCAGGUGUUGUAUUAAAAAAGCCAGCUGAGUGAUCCAUGGGGAGCAAGCCAGUAAGAGCAUUCCUCCAUGGCCUCUGCUUCAGCUCCCGUCUUGGGCUAUUUAUCCUUAGGGAUGGGCUGUAACCUGUAAGCUAAGCGAACCCUUUCUUUCCCCAAGUUUAUCACAGCAACAGAAAGCAAGCCAGAACAAAGACUUCGACCAAGAUCACGUGGUGCUGUCAUGACAGACAUGAUGACAUUUUAGGGACAAUUGUGGUGGUAUUUGGAAUCUUGAGCUGGAAAAGUCAGGAGUGCUUGGAGCUUACUGGGCUGUUCAAUGGGAGCUUGGAAGACAUGGAGCUGAGAGCAACGCAGAUGGAGGUCUGGCUUGUGAAGUCUCAGGGUCCCUUAAACACUCUCACCAUCUAUUCAUGUGAUGUUGUGGAUUAAGAAUCUGUGGUUUCUGGUCAGCUGGGGCUGAAAAAAAAAGCAUGAUUAACAAGAGACCAGUUCUACUGAAAGAAACCUUUGCUUUACUGGGGCAAUGGAUGCUGGUUAGCUGGGGCUGAAGAAACAGCUGUGAUUACCAAAAGACCAGCAUCAUUGAGGCAAAAAUCUAGAAAGUAUUUCCUUAGGCUCAGCAUUCAAAAGGGUGUGGUCCAGAGGGGCCCAAGGCUGUGUGUGUCUCAUGCUGAUAGCUGAACUUGAUUUUGUCAGCAUGGAAGCUGUGGGGUGGAAGGGGUCUUGAAGAGUAGCUGAGACUUGACACUGUGAGGGUCUAGGGGGGGCCACUGGUGUGGGCUCAGCUUCUGUUGCAGUGGAGGCCACAGACCAUGCAGGGACCCACUAAGGACAGCAGCAGGUGUGAGGUAGAAUUAGUGAGCCCAUUAAUCUUCUGAGCACUGGGGGCCUUUCCAGCUCAAGAUGCCAAACGCUGCCACAAUCCUCCUGAGAGAUCAGCUGUGUGUUGUGGGUAGCAGAGGUGGAGAAUUGGGUUAGCAAGCCAUUUUGGAGCCCAGAAGAUUAUGAGUGAGUCCAAGACAGCAGACACUGAACUUUUCAUAGUGUUGAAUUUUGGUUUUGCUCUGCUAGGAUUGUAACUGUGCCCUGGUUCUUACCUUUGGAACUAAGCAAGCAUGUAACUUCUUUUGGAUUUUACAGGAGCUUUGCUUCAAUUGGUUCCUACCCUGGCUUCCUUUGAUGAUGGGCUAUAACCUAUAAGACAAACUCCUUCUUCCCGAUGCUUUUGGUCCCUAUCCCAUCAUAGCAACAGAAAUCAAACUAGGCCAACUUGCCUUUUCACUCCAUAUAUAUGUUAAAGAGUAGGUCUUUCAGAGUAAGGACUAUUAACCAGUGAGUGGCUGUGGGGAGGCCCUUUACCCCUCUAGACUUGUUUGCUUCCUGUGUCAUGGUGGAACUGAAAAGCAGACAGAUAGAGGUUUUGCAGUUCCAACAAUCUUAAAACUCAUGGCUUUCCAUGUUGGGAAUCAGUGGAAGGAAGACAGAGGCAAGGAGGAUUCCUGACUGAUGAGGGAGCCCCACUCCUGCCAAUGGCCACUUGGGCAAGGUGCGUGGGGGGUGUCUCCUUGUUCUCACCUCUCCUCCCAUGAGGGUGCAAAGUCUUUUGUGGACUCUUGCCUGAGCCCUGCUGAGUUAUCUGACUGGCCUGUGGGCUGGUGACUGGCUGCUUCUUUCUAGCUGGCUCAGGCCUGGAGUCCAGGGGUGGGAAGGGGAGACUUGGAUCCCUGCCCCAUGCGGCAGCAGAGGGCUCUCAGGCAGGCAGGGUGACGUGGGCUUAACUCUCAGCUCUGCUACUUUGUUUCAGCCACUUGACACUGUCGUGUGUCAACCACUAGGUGCCCAGAUAACUGCAGACUCCAAUGGCCACUUAACCAUUGGCUUUCCUGGGUCUCUUCAGCUUCCCCAUUUACCUUGCUGGUCUUAGGUCCUGCUAUCCUCCACGGCAUGUGAUUACAGAUAGAUGCUAUUGGCUCUGUCCCCCUGACAUCUAUGGAGAUUUGGGACAAUGCUUGCCCAUCCGAGCCUCUGUUUGCUUUGUUUUGGGUGGUGCUGCAGAUUGAAUUUAGGGCUACACCUUCAGCCUCUGAGCCUCUACUUUGAAUUUGUUUAAGAUGGAAAUGAUUACUAAUAUAAGUGCCACCUUUCUGCUUUAAGAUUCCUAUUACUUAGUAAAUUCCAAAUCAUACAAAA